GUAUGGUAUAUACUAUAUACGUAUAGAAUAUAAGGUUAUACAACUGUUUACUAAAAACAUAGCACAUUGACAAUACAUAUAUAGUAUAUUAUAAUGUGUGAAUUCUGCUCAAUGAUAUACUAUAAGAUAUAGUGUAUAUACUAUAUACUAUAUAUAAGGUACUAUCAAAUAGCAGCCUUAUCUUGAGGGUUAUAAUGUAGCGAAAUACCUUGUUUACUAAAUAUAAUCGUGCAUGAAUGGAGUAAUGAUAUAACAAUUGUAUCGGGUGUAUAGUACAGUGAAAUUGUAGUCGUAGUGAAGAUACUAUG
rnacentral:ncRNA from 1 species